rnacentral:rRNA from 1 species
AGAGUUUGAUCAUGGCUCAGGAUGAACGCUGGCGGCGUGCUAAUACAUGCAAGUCGAACGAAGAGUAUCUUGUGUUCGCAUAGGUUACUCUUAGUGGCGAACGGGUGAGUAACGCGUUGGUGACCUGCCCCGAAGUGAGGGAUAACCCCGGGAAACUGGGGCUAAUACCCCAUAUGGUCACAGGGAUUAGAUGCCUUGUGUCUAAAGGAUUUAUUCGCUUCGGGAGGGGCCUGCGUCCCAUCAGCUUGUUGGUAGGGUAAUGGCCUACCAAGGCUUCGACGGGUAGGGGACCUGAGAGGGUGACCCCCCACACUGGCACUGAAACACGGGCCAGACACCUACGGGUGGCAGCAGUAGGGAAUAUUGGGCAAUGGGCGAAAGCCUGACCCAGCAACGCCGCGUGCGCGAUGAAGGCCUUCGGGUUGUAAAGCGCUUUUCUGAGGGAAGAGCAAGGACGGUACCUCAGGAAUAAGGUUCGGCUAACUACGUGCCAGCAGCCGCGGUAACACGUAGGAACCGAGCGUUAUCCGAAUUUACUGGGCGUAAAGCGCGUGUAGGUGGUUCGAUAAGUUGGGUGUGAAAGCUCCUGGCUCAACUAGGAGAGGCCGCUCAAUACUGUCGGGCUAGAGAACGGUAGAGGGAGGUGGAAUUCCCGGUGUAGUGGUGAAAUGCGUAGAUAUCGGGAGGAACACCAGUGGCGAAGGCGGCCUCCUGGACCGUUUCUGACACUGAGACGCGAAAGCUAGGGGAGCGAACGGGAUUAGAUACCCUAGUAGUCC